rnacentral:rRNA from 1 species
UCUGGUUGAUUCUGCCAGUAGUCAUAUGCUUGUUUCAAGGACUAAGCCAUGCAAGCCUAAGAAUCACUGCACUGCAGGAAUCUGCGCAUGGCUCAUUACAUCAGACGUAAUCUGCCGCAAAUAUUUUUGUGGGUCACCGCAUUAUUGGAUACCUUGGCGAAAUGCCAAGCUAAUACAUGGAUCAAACUGGUAGUACCCGUUCACAUGGCGGAGGGCUUGCUCUUCGUCUAGUGGUAUUGCCGAGCGAAUGAAUGACAUUAAAACCAACGCCGCGUCAGCGGCAGUAACACCAAGGAGUGUUGAAUCAAUUCAUUCUUGCGAAAGCUGGUCUAACCGGCGUCUUUUGACGAACAACUGCCCUAUCAUGCUAGUGAUGGCCGUGUAGUGGACGGCCAUGGCGUUGACGGGAGCGGGGGAUUAGGGUUCGAUUCCGGAGAGGGAGCCUGAGAAACGGCUACCACUUCUACGGAAGGCAGCAGGCGCGCAAAUUGCCCAAUGCCAAAAAACUUGGUGAGGCAGCGAAAAGAAAUAGGCCUUCUUGACGCCAUCAGGUGUCUGGAAGAUUCCAAUGGGGGAUAUUUAAACCCAUCCAAUAUCGAGUAGCGAUUGGAGGACAAGUCUGGUGCCAGCACCCGCGUAAUUCCAGCUCCAAGAGCAUAUAUUAAUGCUGUUGCUGUUAAAGGGUUCGUAGUUGAACUGAGGGCUGCCAAGGAGACAACCAAGUCCCUCCCAUCUCAAAAUGGGUUGGCGACCGUUGCUCUUGCUGCCCGUGAACAGGCAUUGCCUUUGUGCGUGCCAGAAACAGGUCCGCGGGAACGUUUUGACAAUCCGUCAUCUGCCUUCCAGCUUUUCGCAUGCAAUGCAUGUUACCAAUUGGCUGGGGGACGCCCGCGAUUUUUACUGUGACUAAAAAAGCGUGACUAAAGCAGUCAUUUCAGACAUGAAUUUCAAAGCAUGGGAUAACAAAGGAGCAACCUAUGGAUUUACCAUUAGGCUUUUGUUGGUUUUAAAAGUCCGUGGGAGACUAUGGAUCCGCUCGACAAGCGGCUCGGGGGACUCUGCUAUCAAACGCAAGUUUCCCCACGCUCCCGGUGUGGCUCAGCCAGCCAUCGACUUCGGUCUUUGGUUGGUCCCACAUUGGUUGGCGGAUUCAGGAAUGAAGGAGGGUUGUUCGGGGGAGAACGUACUUGAGCGUGAGAGGUGAAAUUCUAAGACCGCUCAAAGACGAACUAAAGCGAAGGCAUUCUCCAAGGAUACCUUCCUCAAUCAAGAACCAAAGCGUGGAGAUCGAAGAUGAUUAGAGACCAUUGUAGUCCACGCCACAAACGGUGACCCCCACGAAUUGGGGAGUGUUUGGUAGGAUUCGGGGGCUGGGCAUCGCCCAGUUUUACCUCGGACCUCCAAAAAUUGAAUCAAUUUACGUUCAUAUUCUAAGGUAUUGUUUCCGCCCUCUGGGUGGAGCAGCCAAUAACGGGAAUAUCCUCAGCACGUUCUCUGACUGUUUAUCGCGAAAGCUUUGAGGUUACAGUCUCAGGGGGGAGUACGUUCGCAAGAGUGAAACUUAAAGAAAUUGACGGAAUGGCACCACAAGACGUGGAGCGUGCGGUUUAAUUUGACCCAACACGGGGAACUUUACCAGAUCCGGACAGGGUGAGGAUUGACAGAUU